AGGCUGUGAUGAGAGACAAUGUCAUGCACCACUCUGAUUCAAUCAGUGCUGACAAUCGACUUGUAACCGAUAUUUAUCUGAGCCU